AACGGCCGUACCAUGCUGAAUAUACCGGUUCUCGUUAGAUCACCGAAGUUAAGCAUCAUUGGGCGUGGUCAGUACUUGGCUGGGUGACCACCUGGGAACACCGCGUGCCGU
rnacentral:rRNA from 1 species